UUAUCAAAUGUAGCAAAUAUUUGCCAUGUCUGCUUUGGGUUACUUUUUUUGGGAAGCCUUAGGCCGAUUUUUGGCAACAGGGAUUGAAAACAUUUUACCACUUCCCUUACUGAAAAGGCCUUGUUGCCUGGGUGGGUGCCCAAGUCGUUGGUCUCACAGCUGAGGAAAUCGACGAUGCAGACACACCAAGGACGAGGUCAGAGCAGAAGCAGAAGUUUAACAGGUGAAAGAAAGAGAACAGUUCUCUGCUGCAGAGAGGGGUCCCAGAAAGGGUUGCCGUCCCACAGUAAAAUGAAAGGGUUUUUUUCAUGCGCGUCCGUGUGAAGAGACACCAAACAGGCUUUGUGUGAGCAACAUGGCUGUUUAUUUCACCUGGGGGCAGGCGGGCUGAGUCCGAAAAGAGAGUCAGCGAAGGGAGAUAGGGGUGGGGCCGUUUUAUAGGAUUUGGGAAGGUAAUGGAAAAUUACAGUCAAAGGGGGUUGUUCUCUGGUGGGCAGGGGCGGGGGUCACAAGGUGCUCAGUGGGGGAGCUUCUGAGCCAGGAGAAGGAAAUUCACAGGGUUAAUCACUCAGUUAAGGUGGGGCAAGAACAAAUCACCAUGGUGGAAUGUCAUCAGUUAAGGCGGGGCAGGGCCUUUUCAGUUCUUUUGUGAUUCUUCAGUUACUUCAGGCCAUCUGGGCGUAUACGUGCAAGUCACAGGGGAUGCGAUGGCUUGGCUUGGGCUCAGAGGCCUGACAUUCCUGCCUUCUUAUAUUAAUAAGAAAAAUAAAACAAAAUUGUGUUGAAGUGUUGGGGCGGUGAAAAUUUUUGGGGGGUGGUAUGGAGAGAGAAUGGGCGAUGUUUCUCAGGGCUGCUUCAAGCGGGAUUAGGGGCGGCGUGGGAACCUAGAGUGGGAGAGAUUAAGCUGAAGGGAGGUCUUGUGGUAAGGGGUGACAUUGAGGGGGUUGUUAGAAGAAACAUUUGUCAUACAGAAAGAUUGGUGAUGGCCUGGAUACGGUUUUGUAUGAACUGAAAAACUAAAUGGAAUAAGAGAAGGAGAAAAACAGGUAUAAAAGGACUAAGAAUUGGGAGGAUCUAGGACAUCUAAUUAGAGAAUGCCUAAGGAGGUUCAGCAUAGUCCUUCCAGCGAAGAUUAUUUAUUUACUUCAAGAGUUAAGAGUGGCAGUUUGGGGAUAGCAUGAGGAGAUAUCAGCCAUGAUGGCUUGGAGAAACAGUGUAAACUGGCAGUGUAAACAAGAGCAGGGCAUGUAUGAGUAGUUGAGAACGGAGAAUAGGAGUAUGACUAGACGGAAAAUAGUAGGGAUGACAAGUUUUUUUGGGGGCACAGUCUAAGUUGGUCUGGUGUCUGGGAUGAGACUGGGGCCUAAUAAAAAGGAGCUUAAAUGGACUGUACCUUGUAGCAUUCUGAGGACAGGUCUGACUUCUGAGAAGGGAAAGUGGUAAAAGUAUUGUCCAGUUCUUUUUAAGUUGGUGGCUGAGCUUGGUGAGGUGUGUUUUUAAAAGACCUUUAGUCCGUUCUACUUUUCUUGAAGACAGAGGACUAUAAGGGAUAUAAACUGAAAAACUGCUUGGCUAAUUUGACUAAUAAAGCCUGGUCUGUUAUCAGACUGUAUAGAGGUGGGAAGGCUAAACUGAGGAAUUAUGUCUGACAGAAGGGAAGAAAUGACUGCGGUGGCCUUCUCAGACCCUGUAGGAAAGGCCUCUACCUAUCUAGUGAAAAUGUCUACUUAGACUAAGAGGUAUUUUAGUUUUUGUGACUCGGGGCAUGUGGAGUAAAGCUAAUUUGCCAGUCCUGGGCGGGGGCAAAUCCUCGAGCUUGAUGUGUAGGGAAGGGAGGGGCCUGAAUGAUCCUUGAGGAGUAGCAGAAUAGCAGAUAGAAUAGCAGAUGGAACACUGAGAAGUUAUUUCCUUGAGGAUAGAUUUCUACAAUGGAAAGGAAAUGAGAGGUUCUAAGAGAUGGGCUAGUGGCUUGUAAUAUGGGGAAAUGGGGUGAAUGUCAGGUGGAUCAGAGAGAUGCAGUCAUGGGGAUCAGGUGUGGUAUCAGGAAUAAUGUGGGAGGCCAGAUUGAAGUCUGGGCCAGGAACAAUGGUAAUUGUGGGACUUAACAAAGAAUGAGUACAGCUGAAGGAGCCGGGGAGCAGAAAGUAUAUGCGUCAGGUAUGAGGAAGAAAAUAGAUUUUGGAAGUUAUGAGAAAUGUAGAGAGUGAGUUGAACAUAGUUUGUGAUUUUUAGGGCCUCUAAAAUUAUUAAAGCAGCGGCAGCUGCUGCAUGCAGACAUGAGGGCUAGGCUAAAACAGUAAGGUCAAGUUGUUUGGACAGAAAGGCUACAGGGUGGGGUCCUGGCUCUUGUGUAAGAAUUCUGACCGCACUAACCAUGCCUAGGAAGGAAAGGAGUUGUUGUUUUGUAAGGGAUUGAGGUUUGGGAGAUUAAUCAGACACCAUCAGCAGGGAGAGCACCUGUGUUUUUGUGAAGAAUUAUGCCGAGGUAGGUAACGGAUGGAGAAGAAAUUUGAGCUUUGGAGGGGGAUACCCGAUAUCCUUUGGAGAAUAAAUGCUGAAGGAGCAGAAGUAUGUCUUGUUGAGAAGAUUCAAAGGAGGGGCUACAAAGAAGAAGGUCAUCAAUAUAUUGAAUAAGGUGAGAAGUGGAGGGGUGGAAAGAAAGUAGAUCAUGAGAAAGAGCUUGGCUGAAGUAAUGAGGGCUGUCCCUGGAACCUUGCGGCAGCACAGCCCAGAAGACGAUGAUUCCAGAUGGAAAAAAUGGAAAUGUAAGAGGGAAUUAACAACACUGGAAUUAGUAAACCCAUGGAAUUGUAACAACCACACAAAUAAAAUAAAGAAAUAGAACACUGGCAGCUCUGCGGAAGCUCCUGUAGUCAUCUCUCCAAAUCGCUACUGGCCUUCCCCUCCAAAUGAAAUUGCCAUCCUCACUUUGUGGCAGUCCGUUCUCCGAGCACCUCUUCCUUUUCAGGCGGGUCUGUAAUUCUAGAGUGUGUGUAGUAGUAUUGCCCUGGAGUCUUCAGUUACAUUUCUCUAGUUACUAAUGAGGUUGGACUCCAUUAAAAUUGUUUUUCUAAGUGGUAUUCACAUAUUCUGUCCAAUUUUCUUUUCAGCUGUCUUUUGUUUUUAAUUUAAAUAAACGUUGAAUAUUAGCCUUUGUUGGGUAAAUGUGUUAAAAAUAUUUUCUCCCUAUUUAUGUUUUUUUUUUUCUUUUUUCUUUAUGGUUAAAACUUUUGUGUCUUGCUUAACAAGCCCUUCUUUCCUUUUAUGAAGUAAGAAAGAUACUCUCCUAUUGUUUCUUCUAUCCAUUUUAUGAUUUGACAUUUGACAUACAGAUCUAUAAUCUAUCAGGAAUUGUUGUGUGUAUAGCAUUAGGCAGAGUCGAGUUUCACUGUUUGCUCCACAUGGAUAGCAAUCAAUUAUUCUUCCCCAGUGCUCUCACAUGCCAAUUUUGUCAUAAAUUAAGUGGCUAAUUAUGCAAGCUGGAGUAAUAUUAUUUUCUUUCUCCUUCCUUCCUAUUCUCUGAAAGCGUGUACGUGACAUUGGAGUUAUUUAAUCCUUAGAAUUUUGGAAACAUUUAGUGGAGAAACCAUCUGAUUCUGGAAUUUUCCUUGUAGGAAGGCAUUCAAUUACAAAUUCCAUUAAUUUAACAUUUACGGUGUUAUUUAGCUUUCCUACUUCUUUUGUCCAUUUUCGUUAGUUCUUUUUUUUUUAAGAAUGUAUUUGUUUAUGUAAAUUUGUAAAUUUAUCUUGGUGUAAAACUGUUUGUAAUAUUCUCUUACUAUUUUUAAUUUCAGCCAGAUCUGUAUUGAUGUCCCCUUUUCAAUCUAAAAUCUGUUAUUUGUGCCAAUUUUCUCUAUUUCUCUAUCCCCUUGCAAGAAAAUUUUCAAUCUUAUUGUUUUCAAAGAUAAUUUUUUAAAAGAUAAACAACUUUCUCUUUCCUUCCUUUCUAUCCCUUCACAUUAUUUUAUUUGUUUUAUAUUUCAAUAACUUAUGUUCUUAUUAUCACUAUCAUAUCUUUCCUUCCAUUUUCAUAGUAUUUAGUUUUUGUUCUGUUUCUAAUUUCUAGACCCUUUUAACACUCAUCGUAUUUGUUCUCUUGUGAUGCAAAGGUUUGAAGCCAUACAUUUCCAUUUCUUAAGAGAUCUUUUGCAGUAACAUGGAUGGAACUGGAGGCCAUUAUCUUAGGUGAAAUAACUAAGACACAGAAAGAAAAAUGCUACAUGUUCUCACUUAUAAGUGGGAGCUAAAUAACGUGUACACUUGGGCACAGAGUGUGGAAUAAUAGACACUGGAGACUCAGAAGGGUGGCAAGGUGGGAGGAUGGGAUGGAAUGAAGCAUAUGAAACGACUUAAUCAGGACAAUAUAUACUAUUCAGUUGAUGUGGACACUAAAAGCCCAGCCAUGGCCACGAUGCCAUACAGCCACAUAUUGACCAUACCGACACUGUACCCGAGCCCCUUCCACUCAUACACAAAAGACAUUAGACAUGUCCUAAAAGUUCUGUUGUCAUAUUUGCAUUGUCAUUAGUUAAAAUAUUUUGCUUUUUAAUUUAUUUUGUGAUUUCUUCUUGAAUACAUUGAUUACUUAGAGAUUUUAUUUUAUCUUAUUUUUUUAGACAAAGUCUGGCUCUGUCACCCAGGCUGGAGUGCAGUGGCGCGAUCAGGGCUCACUGCAAACUCCGCCUCCUGGGUUCAAGCAAUUCUCCUACCUCAGCUUUCCGAGUCGCCGGGAUUAAAGGCAUAUACCACCAAGCCCAGCUGAUUUUUGUAUUUUUAGUAGAGAUGGGGGUUUCACCAUGUUGGCCAGGCUGGUCUCGAACUCCUGACCUCAGGUGAUCUGCCUGCCUCGGCCUCCCAAAGUGCUGGGAUUGCAGGCGUGAGCCACCGCGCCUGGCCUAGAGAUGUAAUUUUUGACGUUCAAAUAUAUGAGCACUGUUUUUGCUGCUUUUUAAUAUUUGCACAUUGUAUCUUUUUCUUUUCUAUCCCUUUACAUUUACUCUUUCAGAAUCCUUAUGUUUUACUGUUUUCAGAAAACUUAGUUUUUAAAAUAUUCUGCUAAUCAUUUUUCAUAUAAGUUUACAUUAAAUAAGCCUUUUAAAGUUUAUUAUAAUUAAAUAAAGUUUAUUUUCACAUGUGUUUUCAUAUCUACUGUCUCAGAACUUUCUCCUUGCCCUAUUUUUCCUAUUUUAUCCCCUUUUUGCAUCUUUUGAGUUGACUUUUUAUGAUUUUAUUUUUCUCUCUUUACUAGUUUGGAUAUUAUCUACCCCACUAAUAUUCUUUCAGGGGUUACCUUUGAGGUUACAACUGGCAAGGUAGGUUUAUCAGUGUAUAAUAUUAAAUAUUAUUUUACCCCUCCAAAUUUUACUGCCUUUUUAGUUAUUCUUUAUUCUUUCCUUUAUCUCUAAGCAUUCUGAGUCUGUCAGUGUUUAAUUCCUUUCAUUUUUAUUUUUUUUCCUAAAAAUAUCCUUAACUCCCUUUCAUUAUUACAGGAAUUUUUGGGGGGCAGUUAUUUUAUUUGAGCAUGUUAACUAUGUUAUUUCAUUGUCUUUGGACUUCAGUUGCUACUUUUCGAAGAUAGUACAUAUUUUUACCUCUAACUGCUUUUAAAAUUAAUUCUCGGUCUUUAUUUUAUAGGUGUUUUACUAUGAUACACCUAGGAAAGUUUUAUGUAUCCUACUUAGGCUUUGCAAAGGUUUCUGUUUCAUUUUUACAAACGUUGGAUUGAUUAUGGUGUAAUUUAGAGACAGUGAGAUUCACCUUUUUUAGACAUACACAUCUGUGCAUCUGCAGACAUGAGCACUCCAGGUUGUCUAUAACACCACAUGUCCUUCUGAACUUCAUCUCCUGCCAUUACGCCCAGCCUCCAGCAACCACUCAGCUGUUUUCUGUCUCCAGCUUUGCUUUUCCCCAAAUGUUACAUAAGCAGGAUCACACUUAGUCUUUUGAUUUUUUUUUUUUAACCUCAACACAAUGCUUUAGCCAUCCCUUUUUUUUAUGAUGCUCAUUAUAGUUGAUCACUCUUAUUUAUUGCAGGCUUCAUCCAUGUGCUAGUUCAGCCUGUGAGAUGCUGGUGAGCCCACCUCCAGGCACUCACGGACUCCCCACCCAUUGAGUGUGGCCUGGAUUUAGUGACUCAAUCAAACGUGACAGAGUGCUGGGGUGUCAUUUUCAAGACUGGGUUAUGUGAAGACUGCAGCCUCCAUCUGGGGUGCUCUCUCUUGGAUUGCUUGCUCAGGGAUGUGGGGAGAGCUGCUGUGCUGGGAGGCUGCCCAUGUGAGUUGACUUGGAUGUGAACCUUCUGUGGCCUGCCAAUAGCCACGUGAGUGACCUUGAAAAUGGAUCAGCCUUCACUCAAGUCUCAAGAUGACUGUGGUCUUGGCUGACAGCUUGAUUGCUGUCUCAUGGGGGACCUUAAACCAAAGGCACCCUGCUAAGCCACACACAGCUUCCUGGCCCACAGAAACUAUGAAAUAAUAACCAUUUCUUAUAUAAGCCUCCAAGUUUUGGGAGUAAUAUUUUGCACAGUGAUGGAUCACUAAUACAAGCCAGUCAUCAGUUGAAAGACACUGAAUUUAUUUCCAGUUUUAUGUGAUUAUGAAUAAUGUCACCAUAUGCAUUUGCAUACAGGUGUUUGUGUGGACACUGCUGUCAUUUCUCUUGGGAAGAUACUGAGGAGUCAGAUUGCUGGAUCCCGUGAAGAAUGUGCACCUGGGAUUGGCUCUUGCUUCCUAAGGAACCUCAAAAAAGCUGCAACCUAUUGGAGACUUUUGAUUCAGCAUCAAGGAUAUGCGUGAGACUUUGGUUCUUUUCUGUUGGGACACAGUUGAUUCUGACUGUCUUAAAGUUAGGCUUUUCUAAAGAUUUAGACUAAUAAAUUAUUUGAAUGGGACAACACACAUCAUUUGCUUUAUUAUACUUUAAAUAUGGCAGAACGGUGUAUUACCACCCCAAUCCCAAUCACCGGUACCUCCAUAGGCAGAGAUGUUAUCCUUAUUUUGCUGAAGAAGGAAUUAGGGUUACUCAGAGUCAUGCAGUUGGAAAGAGAUAGAAUGGAACUUUAACCUGUAUGUUCUGAUUAUUAUUCAGUCU
rnacentral:lncRNA from 1 species